GACGAACGCUGGCGGCGUGCCUAAUACAUGCAAGUCGAACGCUGAAGAGAGGAGCUUACUCUUCUUGGAUGAGUUGCGAACGGGUGAGUAACGCGUAGGUAACCUGCCUUGUAGCGGGGGAUAACUAUUGGAAACGAUAGCUAAUACCGCAUAACAAUGGAUGACACAUGUCAUUUAUUUGAAAGGGGCAAUUGCUCCACUACAAGAUGGACCUGCGUUGUAUUAGCUAGUAGGUGAGGUAAUGGCUCACCUAGGCGACGAUACAUAGCCGACCUGAGAGGGUGAUCGGCCACACUGGGACUGAGACACGGCCCAGACUCCUACGGGAGGCAGCAGUAGGGAAUCUUCGGCAAUGGGGGCAACCCUGACCGAGCAACGCCGCGUGAGUGAAGAAGGUUUUCGGAUCGUAAAGCUCUGUUGUAAGUCAAGAACGGGUGUGAGAGUGGAAAGUGCACACUGUGACGGUAGCUUACCAGAAAGGGACGGCUAACUACGU
rnacentral:rRNA from 1 species